rnacentral:sRNA from 1 species
UUGUUUGUCUAGCUGCCACUUGUGCUCCUGGGCAAUUCACUUGCAGAAAUGGAGUCUGUCUAAAGAAUGCUUAUGUUUGUGACACAGAAGACGACUGUGGCGAUAAUUCAGACGAAGCUGGAUGUCCCACUGACUGUAGCGGCAACCAUCAAUUCAAAUGCGCCAACAACAGAUGUAUUCCGCACGAGUUCUGGUGCGAUGGAGACGAUGACUGUGGGGAUAAAUCGGACGAGGCUCACUGUCCACACUAACUGACCAAAACGAAUGGAGCUACUUAGUGACGUAGG